rnacentral:rRNA from 1 species
UACGUAGGGGGCGAGCGUUGUCCGGAUUUAUUGGGCGUAAAGAGCGUGUAGGCGGCCAGGUAGGUCUGCUGUGAAAACUUGAGGCUCAACCUCGAGACGUCGGCGGAAACCAUCUGGCUAGAGUCCGGAAGAGGAGACUGGAAUUCCUGGUGUAGCGGUGAAAUGCGCAGAUAUCAGGAGGAACACCGAUGGCGAAGGCAGGUCUCUGGGCCACUACUGACGCUGAGAAGCGAAAGCAUGGGGAGCGAACAGG